rnacentral:rRNA from 1 species
AGACUGAUUGUACAGAACAACAGCAAAGACUAUUCACAGUAUGAAAUAGAACUUGAACCAUUCAAUUUUGAAAAGAUUACAGCCAUUCUGGGUAUAAAUGAUGCAAAACAAAAUUUGAAGAAUGGGGCUGUCUCUUAUACACAUCUCCGAGCCCACGAGACAGGCAGAAAUCUCGUAUGCCGUCUUCUGCUUGAAAAAAAAAACAACGUUAAUCGGGGCAGGGUGAGUCGACCCCUAAGGCGAGGCCGAAAGGCGUAGUCGAUGGGAAACAGGUUAAUAUUCCUGUACUUGGUGUUACUGCGAAGGGGGGACGGAGAAGGCUAUGUUGGCCGGGCGACGGUUGUCCCGGUUUAAGCGUGUAGGCUGGUUUUCCAGGCAAAUCCGGAAAAUCAAGGCUGAGGCGUGAUGACGAGGCACUACGGUGCUGAAGCAACAAAUGCCCUGCUUCCAGGAAAAGCCUCUAAGCAUCAGGUAACAUCAAAUCGUACCCCAAACCGACACAGGUGGUCAGGUAGAGAAUACCAAGGCGCUUGAGAGAACUCGGGUGAAGGAACUAGGCAAAAUGGUGCCGUAACUUCGGGAGAAGGCACGCUGAUAUGUAGGUGAAGUGAUUUACUCAUGGAGCUGAAAUCAGUCGAAGAUACCAGCUGGCUGCAACUGUUUAUUAAAAACACAGCACUGUGCAAACACGAAAGUGGACGUAUACGGUGUGACGCCUGCCCGGUGCCGGAAGGUUAAUUGAUGGGGUUAGCGGUAACGCGAAGCUCUUGAUCGAAGCCCCGGUAAACGGCGGCCGUAACUAUAACGGUCCUAAGGUAGCGAAAUUCCUUGUCGGGUAAGUUCCGACCUGCACGAAUGGCGUAAUGAUGGCCAGGCUGUCUCCACCCGAGACUCAGUGAAAUUGAACUCGCUGUGAAGAUGCAGUGUACCCGCGGCAAGACGGAAAGACCCCGUGAACCUUUACUAUAGCUUGACACUGAACAUUGAGCCUUGAUGUGUAGGAUAGGUGGGAGGCUUUGAAGUGUGGACGCCAGUCUGCAUGGAGCCGACCUUGAAAUACCACCCUUUAAUGUUUGAUGUUCUAACGUUGGCCCGUAAUCCGGGUUGCGGACAGUGUCUGGUGGGUAGUUUGACUGGGGCGGUCUCCUCCUAAAGAGUAACGGAGGAGCACGAAGGUUGGCUAAUCCUGGUCGGACAUCAGGAGGUUAGUGCAAUGGCAUAAGCCAGCUUGACUGCGAGCGUGACGGCGCGAGCAGGUGCGAAAGCAGGUCAUAGUGAUCCGGUGGUUCUGAAUGGAAGGGCCAUCGCUCAACGGAUAAAAGGUACUCCGGGGAUAACAGGCUGAUACCGCCCAAGAGUUCAUAUCGACGGCGGUGUUUGGCACCUCGAUGUCGGCUCAUCACAUCCUGGGGCUGAAGUAGGUCCCAAGGGUAUGGCUGUUCGCCAUUUAAAGUGGUACGCGAGCUGGGUUUAGAACGUCGUGAGACAGUUCGGUCCCUAUCUGCCGUGGGCGCUGGAGAACUGAGGGGGGCUGCUCCUAGUACGAGAGGACCGGAGUGGACGCAUCACUGGUGUUCGGGUUGUCAUGCCAAUGGCACUGCCCGGUAGCUAAAUGCGGAAGAGAUAAGUGCUGAAAGCAUCUAAGCACGAAACUUGCCCCGAGAUGAGUUCUCCCUUACCCUUUUUUUUUUUUCAAGCAGAAGACGGCAUACGAGAUUUCUGCCUGUCUCGUGGGCUCGGAGAUGUGUAUAAGAGACAGAGGUUAGUGUUUCUUGUUUAGUAUA